rnacentral:rRNA from 1 species
UGCUAUUGAUACUAGCAGCCUUGAGUAAGAUUGGAGCAAUUGGAAUGUGUGGUGUAGCGGUAAAAUGCGUAGAUAUCACACAGAACACCGAUCGCGAAGGCAGAUUGCUAAGUCUUUACUGACGCUGAGGCACGAAAGCGUGGGUAGCAAACAGGAUUAGAUACCCUGGUAGUCCACGCUGUAAACGAUGAUCACUAGCUGUUGGAUUGUUUUUUUUAUUCAGUGGCCAAUCGAAAGAGAUAAGUGAUCCACCUGGGGAGUACGAUCGCAAGAUUGAAACUCAAAGGAAUUGACGGGGGCCCGCACAAGCGGUGGAGCACGUGGUUUAAUUCGAUAAUACGCGAGGAACCUUACCAAGGCUUAAAUGUACCACGAAUAGGCUGGAAACAGCUUAGUUUUCGGACGGGGUACAAGGUGCUGCAUGGUUGUCGUCAGCUCGUGCCUUGAGGUGUUGGGUUAAGUCCCGCAACGAGCGCAACCCCUAUUGUUAGUUGCCAACGGAUGAUGCCGGGAACUCUAACAAAACAGCCGAUGCAAAUCGAGAGGAAGGUGGGGAUGACGUCAAAUCAUCAUGGCCCUUACGUCUUGGGCCACACACGUGCUACAAUGGCCGGUACAGAGGGAAGCCACUGGGUGACUAGAAGCGAAUCUCUAAAACCGGUCUCAGUUCGGAUUGGAGUCUGCAACUCGACUCUAUGAAGCUGGAAUCGCUAGUAAUCGCGUAUCAGCCAUGACGCGGUGAAUACGUUCCUGGGCCUUGUACACACCGCCCGUCAAGCCAUGGAAGUCGGAGGUAUCUGAAGUCAGUGACCGUUAAAGGAGCUGCCUAGGGUAAAAUCGGUAACUAGUCUAA